AUGAGUGCACCAACGGCCUUAGCUUGGAGCUUGGAGGCAUCUCGGCAGGGCGUUGUCUUCCCCCUCAUAGUCUUGCCGAGUCAUCCAAAAGACUGGAAUCAGACUUGGUUCUAUUGUCAAGACAUUUCACCAGCAAACGAGAAGCCAUUGCCGGGUUAUCGCCCCGAACAUCUUGAUUCCAAGUUCGCGCUCCCUAACAAGCUUACUGCUAUCGAACACAAGAAGCUGAUCCCAUCAAUAAAGAGGAUUAAUGCCUUAUUAGUAAACGGCUUAACCGGAGUUGAUCUGACCCACUGCUGGAUCUCAUGGCGGGUUAUCCCUCUAAGCCGUCGGUCAAAAUUGAUGUACGAGUAUGGUGGAGGCCCAGAUGACUCUCUUCGUCACAGCUCCGUUCAACUAACAGAAGAAGAUAUUGUUUCAAUGUCAACCCUUCUGGUGAAUGGAAAAUACGAAGACUGCAGUAUCGUCGGGUUAAACCCCUUCUGCAAGCUUAACCCGGUGCCAGAAGCCAGAUCUAAUUUCUGGAAAGUUAAAUAUGACCAUGAAGCUGCCAAGAAAGCAAGAGCCGCCGCCAUAAACGCCAAGAAAAUGACCCGGAGGUCAAAAAAGAAGAAAAAGAGCACCGCUGGAGAUAUGAUGAAACUCGACGAUACUUCUGAGUAG
rnacentral:rRNA from 1 species